rnacentral:rRNA from 1 species
AGGACGAACGCUGGCGGCGUGCUUAACACAUGCAAGUCGAGCGGAAAGGCCCUUCGGGGUACUCGAGCGGCGAACGGGUGAGUAACACGUGAGCAAUCUGCCCCUAGCUCUGGGAUAGCUCCGGGAAACCGGGAUUAAUACCAGAUACAACCACUUUAGACAUCUUUUGUGGUGGAAAGGAUUCCGGCUAGGGAUGAGCUCGCGGCCUAUCAGCUUGUUGGUUGGGGUAACGGCCCACCAAGGCGACGACGGGUAGCCGGCCUGAGAGGGCGACCGGCCACACUGGGACUGAGACACGGCCCAGACUCCUACGGGAGGCAGCAGUGGGGAAUAUUGCGCAAUGGGCGAAAGCCUGACGCAGCGACGCCGCGUGGGGGAUGACGGCCUUAGGGUUGUAAAGCUCUUUCGCUCGGGACGAUAAUGACGGUACCGAGAUAAGAAGCCCCGGCUAACUUCGUGCCAGCAGCCGC